AGGAUUUGGUUUAGGAUUUGGUUUAAGGUUUGAUUAGGGUUUGGAUUAGGGUUUGAUUUAGGAUUUAGGUUUUAGGAUUUAGAUUAGGGUUUGGUUUAGGAUUAGGAUUUGAUUAAGGUUUGGUUUAGGGUUUAAGAUUUGGAUUAGGGUUUGAUUAGGAUUUGAUUUAGGAUUUAGGAUUUAGAUUAGGGUUUGGUUAGGAUUUAUUUAGGAUUUAGGAUUUCAUUAGGAUUUGAUUUAGGAUUUAGGGUUUGGUUAGGGUUUGAUUUAGGAUUUAGGAUUUUAUUAGGAUUUAAGAUUAAAUUAGUUUGACUUAAAGUUUGAAUGAAGUUCAAUAGGAUUUUAACUAGAAUUAAAUUAAGAUUGAAUUGAGAUGUAUUUGAAUGACAUUUGUGUUCUUUCUAAUGUUUCUUUAAAAAUUCCUAUUAUUUUUUUGAAAUUUCUUUGAGAUUUUUUUGAAUUUGAUUAAGCUUGCUUAGCAUUAUUAUAGUCUA
rnacentral:lncRNA from 1 species